AGCAAAACCACAUAUAGAGGGUGUAAUAGCUAAGUAGCCUGUAAGAGAUGGCUUCCUCUGUGAUUUCAUCGGCGGCCGUUGCCACAGUUAACCGCACCCCUGCACAGGCCAACAUGGUUGCACCAUUCAACGGCCUCAAGUCUACCUCAGCUUUCCCGGUCACCAGAAAGGCUAACAAUGACAUUACUUCCAUUGCAAGCAAUGGCGGAAGAGUUCAAUGCAUGCAGGUAAAACCUUUUAAACAACUUUGGUACAACGUUGUUAGUUUUAUUCUACCUACUUGGAAUUAAUUAGCUCUCUGUGCUCACUUCUUUUUUAUUUUUUUUGGAAAAAAAAUGUGCGUAGGUGUGGCCUCCAACUGGAUUGAAGAAGUUCGAGACUCUUUCUUACCUUCCAGAUCUCACUACUGAGCAAUUGGCCCAGGAAAUUGAGUACCUUCUUCGCAACAAGUGGGUUCCUUGCUUGGAAUUCGAGUUGGAGGUGAUAAAUCCAAUUUCAUAAUCUUACAAUUUUCACUAAUUAUUAUUUAUACGAGGUGAUAAUUAACCAUAUAAAGCAUUUUUUGUAUUUUGAAAGUAUUUUUGAAAAAAUUAUUUUUUUCAAAUUAGUUUAUUUUUUUUGUAUUUUCAGUUAUCUUCUGUUCUGAAGUUCAAAAUAAAUUUUAAUAAAUAAAAAAAAUAUUUUAAUAUAUUUUUGAAUAAAAAAUACUUUUAUUAUAAUUUUAUAACUAUCGUACUAAAUUAAUUGUACCUAUACUUUUACGUUGAACACAUUAUAAUUAUUGGAUUUGAUUAAUUAUUUUAUGAAGAUUAUGCAUGUUCAUUUUUAAUUUGUUGGGUUUACACGAAAAUUAAUAAUGUUAUCAGGUAACUUAAUUAAGCAUUCAAGCAGAUUCUUAGUUCCUCAAUAUAUAGUCACAUAUAAGGUUUGUGAUUAAUUGUUUAUAGACACUAACUUGAAAAUGUUUGAUUAUGCAGAAAGGUUGGGUCUACCGCGAGCACCACCAGUCCCCAGGGUACUAUGAUGGACGCUACUGGACUAUGUGGAAACUACCCAUGUUUGGAUGCACUGAGGCAUCUCAGGUGCUGAUUGAGCUCGAGGAGGCGAAGAAAGCUUACCCUAACUCCUUUAUCCGUAUCAUUGGAUUCGACAACACUCGUCAAGUGCAGUGCAUCAGUUUUAUCGCCUCCAAGCCGAAGGGUGUCUAGGUUUCAAGAUUUGAUGAGUCCCUAGCUAUCUGUUAGGGUUGCUUUGUUCAAAUUGUACCUGGGCUCUGGCAAAAAGAUCGUUGCUUUUCCUUUUUUUAUUGGGUUUUUGAAGAUCAAUAUUCUACUUUGUUUUUGCUUUCUGGAUUCGGAUGCUGAAUCGAACGCUGAGACUAGUUGAAUAAAAAGUUGUUUAUUUUUAAUUAGAGAUGAUCCGUGCAUGUGAAACCAUUAAUCUGGUAUGCCUCUUUGCCUUCAGCAUCUUUGAUUGAUGUUUAUACAUAUAUAUAUAGUGUUGAUUUUAAGGCACAAUUAAUGGAGGAAUGGCUCUUUCCUGUGACUUUAAAUUAGUCUAAUUCAAAAGGUUAUUGAGCAUUUAACCUUAGCUCCGAAAACAUUGAGCAUUUCCUUGUGGAUUUUGAGAGUUCAUCUCUUAAUCUUCCAUGGAUAAUUACAUCAGACCUUGAGCACAAGAUUGAAUGGAACAUGAUAACUUAAUGUUCUUAAAGAAGAACGCCAAUGUGGCUUAUCUGCACCAGAUGGGUUUCUCUGUCGUAUCCAGCUGUUCCCUCCCGAUCUUGGUUUAACUACCUGCCAAAUUAAGAGACCACUUGUCUAAGAAAAUAGCCUUUUUUUGGCUUACAUUGACAAUGAUGAUCGAAGCAAAUGAAUAACUUCCAAGUCCAAUGACUGAAAAUGUAUUGUGGCCUAACUGUAGUGAGAGUCCUGUUUAAAUUUGGACUCUGUGCCCCUUAAUGUUCAUCAUCAGCCUGCAACUUUCUGCUUGAAAGCCUGAUGAUAGCAUUGGAAGACCAAACAGUACUCAACUCCCAGCUCUUUAAGGAAUACGUAUAAUUAAGCAAACGGAGCAUUCAAAUUUCUGACUCAUUGUUUUUCAUCAGAACUCUAGUUUAAGCACAAUGGCCUGGCAUUCACAAAUUUGAUUGAGCUACUGUCUAAUGCACUGCCUUUUCUAUGAAACAGUAACAUCCACCACAGAAUUCAAGCGUUCUGUACAUGUUUUCUAUAGGCAUCCCAAAUUAGCAACUUGAAAUUACAAAGUAGAUUGACUAGUGUACUCCCUUUUGUUUUCUUUUUUUUCGGGUCUAAAUUAAGAAUUAUCUUCUUGUUUAGAAUUGGGGAGACUAUUCAAACGACAAGAAGCCAAGCUAGGCAGAGACAAGCAUGAUGAACAUAAUAAAAAAAAAAAAACCCACUUCGGCAGCCUAAGUUGAGUGGAUAGUAUUCUCCCAAAUUAAAUCUUGGAAGAGAGUAUAUUCAUGUGGUUCGGUCUGUUUUUUUCCUUUAUGAAUUUGAAUGGUUCAGCCAUUGAUAGCUACACUUGUGGACAUGCCAUGACUAAGAUAAGAUGAGGGUGGAGAUAAGAAGUGUUCACUCUUUCAUUUUAGUCACCUCACAGUUAUUUUUUAUUUCUUCAUUUUGUGGAUAAAAUGUCAAUUUCAAGGUAUUUUCACCAGAAAGAUGGCAGCUUCAAGACAACAACAAUUUACAAAAAUCUAAACCAAGCACGGGUUCCCAUCACUGAAUUAUUAGGUAUUUUUUUUAUCUCGAAUCAGUGGUCAAUUCUUUCACUGUAUUUUUCUUUCAAUGAUUGUAGUACAAUUACUUGUAUUUUUCUGUGCUCUCUGCAAAAAAAAAAAAAAACUAAAUCACUGUAUAUAUUCUUUUCUAAAUUAUUAAUCCCCAACAUUAGAAUUGAAAUAUAUCAAUUGUUUCUUUCCCAUAAAACUUGAAAAGGAAAUACAAGAUUUCAAUUUAUGGUCUGUGGCCGCUGUGCUGAAUCAGGUCAUUGUCAUUCCACCUUUAGUGUUCAUCUUUUAUAGUUUUGGUUGAUGCAUUCUUGUAGAUAAUCUAAACCACCACCACAAGAUGUUUUUUCAUGAGGCUCCAAACAUUAUUUACCACGAAUCAUACAUGAACAAAAUCGCUUUCAUUUUGAUGGGAUUAUGACCAGUUAUCGGCACAAUAAUAAUCGAGGUAACCCGUGUUUAUUUUAAAAUUGUAUUAUUUUAGUUUAAAUAAAAUAAUACUGUUUGAAAAAAAAUUAAAAUAAAAAUUUUCUAGAUAAAAAUUAAUAAAUAAAUAAUUGGAGUUUACUUAAUUGAAUUUUAUCUAAGUAUUAUUUUAUUUAAUACUAAAAUAAAAUAUAUUUUUGGAAGAUCCUCUUAUAUAUUUUUUUUAUUAAUAUAGAUAUCCGAGUCAGCUUGCGCAUACCUCGACUAAUUCCACGGGCCCUGAAAUUAACAACCAUGUAAGUUUCUAGUGGCUCUGAGGUUUCUGAGACUCGAACUGGUGACCUUUAAAGAAUAAAUUUAAAACUUGACCAGUUGAACUACACCCCUUCUUAAAAUUAGAUCUUGUUAUACUUAAUUUUGGAAGUGUAUGAUAAAAGAGUACAUGGAGCAUGAAAUAAUACGAGAACUAAGAGAAAAG
rnacentral:lncRNA from 1 species